GACGAACGCUGGCGGCGUGCUUAACACAUGCAAGUCGAACGGAAAGACCCUGCUUUUGUGGGGUGCUCGAGUGGCGAACGGGUGAGUAACACGUGAGUAACCUGCCCUUGACUUUGGGAUAACUUCAGGAAACUGGGGCUAAUACCGGAUAGGAGCUCCUGCUGCAUGGUGGGGGUUGGAAAGUUUCGGCGGUUGGGGAUGGACUCGCGGCUUAUCAGCUUGUUGGUGGGGUAGUGGCUUACCAAGGCUUUGACGGGUAGCCGGCCUGAGAGGGUGACCGGCCACAUUGGGACUGAGAUACGGCCCAGAAUCCUACGGGAGGCAGCAGUGGGGAAUAUUGCACAAUGGGCGGAAGCCUGAUGCAGCAACGCCGCGUGCGGGAUGACGGCCUUCGGGUUGUAAACCGCUUUCGCCUGUGACGAAGCGUGAGUGACGGUAAUGGGUAAAGAAGCACCGGCUAACUACGUG
rnacentral:rRNA from 1 species